GACAAAUACCAAAAAAAAAUUCGCGCACAGAAAAAAUCCAGAAAAAAUUAUAGUGCACAACAAACCUAUUGAAAAAAAAUCGAGCAAGAACUAGGGCUGAUUUUUAAAAUCUUAAUGCAAUUAUUCUAAAACAUUAAAAUGGUGUUUUUACGACAAUCGGAAAAAUUUAUGACGAACUUUUCGGCGAACUUGGUUUAGGUCGUCUAAAAAAAAAUAUCGUGCAAAGGAAUGUUGCCGGGAAAAAAUCCUUGCAAGCAAUUGGGGGAUGAAAAAAAAUUCGUGCACUGAAAAAUUCCCCCCCCCCCCCCUUCUCAAAUAUCUAAUGGUCCGUCCCUUAGUAGGGCUGCCC